AUAUGAGAGUGCGGCGCACAGCUCAGUAACACGUGGCUAACCUGCCCUUAGGACGGGGACACCCCCGGGAAACUGGGGUUAAUCCCCGAUAGGUAAAGAACUCUGGAAUGAGUCUUUGCCCAAAGGACGCUUACAUUAUGCUUGUGGGCGCCGCCUAAGGAUGGGGCCGCGACCGAUCAGGUUGUUGGUGAGGCAAAGGCUCACCAAGCCUUUUACCGGUGCGGGCCGUGGGAGCGGGAGCCCGGAGAUGGGCACUGAGACAAGGGCCCAGGCCCUACGGGGCGCAGCAGUCGCGAAAACUUUGCAAUACACGAAAGUGUGACAGGGCUAUCCCGAGUGCCAUCCGCUGAGGAAGGCUUUUACCCAGUGUACAAAGCUGGGAGAAUAAGGAGAGGGCAAGACUGGUGUCAGCCGCCGCGGUAAUACCAGCUCUCCGAGUGGUGUGGAUGUUUAUUGGGCCUAAAGCAUCCGUAGCUGGCUGGGCAAGUCCCCUGAUUAUCCACCGAUUCNAUCGUUGGUGUGCGGGGGAUACUGUUCGG
rnacentral:rRNA from 1 species